CUCAAGUUUGAAACAGCAUGAUAACUUGAAAACUCCCCUUUCCCUUCCUAAUUGUAGCAACCAAAAAAAAAAAAAGUUAAUCAGAAAUCUUUCCAACAACGAAUACCGAGCAAACGAAAACCGCUCGUAAAUUCAAGUUAAAAUGGCGGGUUUAUGAGGUCUAGCUCAGGUGGCAUGAGUGGGAUUGGUGGAUCAGAGAAGAUAAAUAAUCAAGUGUAUAGGGUCGUCCAAUCUUCACGACCACAGGUUUCGUUCUCAUCAUUUGACAAAGAAAGCAAGCUUCCUUCGUCCCGGUUUGAUCAGCGACCAAUGGCUUACCCAUUUGUAAGACCUGGGUUGGGUCCUAUGAUCAACCAAUGACCAGUUUUCCCCAUACAACGAACCUAGCACACUUGAGCGUCAGUGUCAGAGAGAGAGAGAGAGAGAGUGCUCCAUUUCAGCUGGUUGGGACGACAGUUACGAAGAAAGGACAGUUUGGGAUAGCGUAAACGAGGUAUAGCAGUCCUUGCCGACUAACUGUUUGAUGCUUUGCUCCUUAGACAACAACAACUCACUUUGCUCAAAUCUAGAUAUAAUACUUGACCCCCGUUAGUCUUC